ACACAUUCCUUAUUCGAUACCCAAACACUAGCUCGAAGAUGGUUCGGUUUACAAGCAGCCUCGGGUGAGGCCUAUUCGAAACGUGCCCAAAAUUUUACCACACCCUACAGGGGCCAUGUGAUGACACCGUGCCAGAUCCCGAGGAUUUCCUGCAUCGUAUGAUUUUUCGAGGAUUUAAAUGCUUGCAUUAGGCAUGCCACCGAGGUAAUUUUUCCUCCGACGGCAAGGCCUCCCCCUCCCUCAUCUGCAGAAGGCCUACGCACUGCUUGCAAAUCUGCAAUUUCUAGCGUUAAAACCCUAGCAGUGCAAUAAAUAUUUCAAAUAUUACACGCGGAUCAGAAAAACGCGGGGGACUGACACGUGCCCUGCGAUGGCCUUAGGUGAGGCCUAUUCAAAAAAAUUACCGGACCCAAAGUGCCAUGAUGUGGGUAGUAGUAGCUAGCAGCCAGGAUGAGCUCCCGAACGGCAAAACUCACAUCAUGACACUGUGGGCCUGGUACGUGUCAUGCCGAUAGACCAUUCUACCAUUUAUAUCAUUUAUGACGCUCAUCCUUAGACGAGGGUGGACUAAACUCCCACAACAAAACUUUUAGAAAUUAAUUAGUACAUUAAUCUAAGGGAUGUAUCCAACCCGAACAGUCGUGUCUCCUCUGUCUUUCUAUUGCCAACAGGCACCUGUUCUGGAGGGAUGCCUCCGAACAGACACCUCUUCUUUGCACCUUUUUCAGAUAUAUAUAUACUUGAAAAUCAAUAGAAACAGGACUGAUCGUCCAUUCACUUUCAUUCAAUCUCGUUUUACUCUAACACAUUAUCAGCACGCUCUUGGCAGAGCGAUCCUGUCAGCCUGAGGGCGUUACACGGAAUGAGCAGGAACGACAAAAGGCUGAUGACUACAGCCACCCUCAGAGUUGCUCUGUGGUGGUCGAUGCGGCCCUCCUUUUGCAUACGUGCAGAUCGGCGGCACUCGAGGCCAUGCCCCUGUCCAGCCGUUCACGGCACAGCGCGCUGCUCCGUAUCGGACGACCUGUUCAUGGCAAGACAGAGUACGAAGAAGAGAACCAGAGACUCGAGUAAAGCACCAUGCAAACUAGCGUACCAAUUUCAUCUAAUCGCUACAAAGAAACAAGGUGCUACUUUUCCAAUUUUCAUCAUGGCUACAGAAAAUUGUUUUACCAGGAACAUAAUCUUGCCUUGACGUUGGACGACGGACGAAGGAAUCCAUGGCAAGUGGAAUCGUGUGGCUUCAGUCCCUGCUGGACCAUUUCGCCGGCUCCAGCGGCUUUGUCCCUGUCGCCGGCCGUCGCCUCGACUGGCCGCCGUGCCCGUGCCUGCGCGAGGCAAUGGCCGCGCCCGGCUCGCUCGAGGUUGUGGUUGCAGCCGCCAGCGCUGCACUGCCCGUCCGCCGCCCGUGCGAGGCCAUGGCCGCGCCCGACCCUCUCAAGGUCGUGGCCGCAGCCGCCUGUGCCGUGGCUGCCCGCUCCCGGCUCCCGGCCCGCUCGAGGCCGUGGCCGCUGAGGCGACAGUUACGGGAUGGCCACACAGGAGGAAGAAAGGGCAUCUUAUCCUUUCAGCCAUUCCUCGAUUUAGUCCUAAAACUUUAUCUUAAUGCUAAAUGGG
rnacentral:lncRNA from 1 species